ACGUUGGUAGUUUAACGGUAAAACAAUGGCCUCCAAAGCCAGAAGAUGAUGGGUUCAAAUCCCUCCCGGCGUG
rnacentral:tRNA from 1 species